AUCCAGAUGACAAGUCCCGAAUAAAACGAAAUGCGUAUCCUGGAU
rfam:Schistosoma haematobium scaffold104_3, whole genome shotgun sequence.